rnacentral:rRNA from 1 species
UACGUAGGGUGCAAGCGUUAAUCGGAAUUACUGGGCGUAAAGCGUGCGCAGGCGGUUAUGCAAGACAGAGGUGAAAUCCCCGGGCUCAACCUGGGAACUGCCUUUGUGACUGCAUAGCUAGAGUACGGUAGAGGGGGAUGGAAUUCCGCGUGUAGCAGUGAAAUGCGUAGAUAUGCGGAGGAACACCGAUGGCGAAGGCAAUCCCCUGGACCUGUACUGACGCUCAUGCAUGAAAGCGUGGGGAGCAAACAGG